rnacentral:lncRNA from 1 species
UAGAUGAAGGCUCUAGGAUGGCAUAUAAGGCUGGAGGUGUCUUGGUGGCUUAUGAGCACUUGUUGCUCUUAUAUGGGACCCAGGUUCAGCUCUCAGCAUCGACAUAGUUCACAACAGUCUGUAACUCCCAUUCUAGGGGAUCGAACUCCCAUUUCUGACUUCCUGGGCACCAGGAUUAGAAUUACAGGUGUCUGCUCUUUCCCCAAUCUGUGGCAUGCUGGGGGGCAAAACAGCACCUCGUGCUGCCAGAGAAGCAGCCAGCCUAGUGCUGAGCUUCGUCCUCAGCUCCUACACAAGGUCUUCAAAGGCCACCGCAGAACAGAACAGAGGGCAGCAGAGACGGGCCUGGAAGAGAGCCCUGAAAGAAAGUCCCCACCAGAGGGGGCUUUUGCCUAUGUGUGUGCCUGUGCUCUUCCUGGAUGCCUGGUAUCUGAGGAGUCUAGAAGAGUGCAUCAGUUUCCCUGGAACUGAAGCUACAGACGGUUGUGAACCUCCAUGUGAGUGCUGAGAAUCUAAUCCUGAUCCUGUAGAGAAGUGCUCUUAACGGUUGAGCUAUUUCUCCAGAUACUGAUUUCAAAUUAUUGAUCCUCCUGCCUCAACUUCCUGAAUGCUGAGAUUACAAGCAUGAGACGUCA